ensembl:ncRNA lncRNA:CR45483 long non-coding RNA:CR45483
CAAAUGAAAUUUGUAUAGCCAAAAGAACAUCCACUAGUAGUAAGUGAAGAUAUAAGCCAAGUCUAUUGGAGUUCCAUUGGAAUAAUAGAUUGUGGGGGACAUCUUGAUGUUGCAAUCGCUGUCCGUUAUUAUUUUAGCCGCUCGUGUAAUUGCAAACGGAAGCGGAAAUGUUCGUCAGCUAUAAAUUUGCUCAGCUCUAAAACCAAGCAUAUUCAAAAACAAUACAAAAACAAGAGGAAAACCGCAGACAGAGAUAGCUGGGCAUCCUGAAACGGUAGAUAAAUUAUGCAUUAAAGGCCAUUCCGUUGAUGAUUUAUGCAGGAGCCCAGAAACCAGUGGCAACAAAAUAAAAAAAAAAAUAUUUAUAUAAGAAAAGCAGGUCUGCAGUUAAUAAACACCGACAAUGGUGACCAUGGCGAACAUGAGGAAAAACAACAAGCGGACUAACAGUUGCAACUUGAAGCUGUUGCAAGUAGCAAGUUCAAGGGGCAGGGGUCACCUAAGGCUGAAUGGAGUUCAAAAGCUUCAGACUUGGACUUGGACCCUUUAACCUGGGACCCACAAGCCAGGAAAAGGAGCCAACACCCGACACUUGUAAAUUUCUUAUGAGCACCAAUGCAAAAAAAAAAUAACGCAAUAGUAUGAAAGGAUUCUCUUUGAAGUCUGACUAUAGGUAGUUUGAAAAAUAUCGAAAGAGAAAUAAUACAGCUAACUUUUUAUUAAACACUUUC